UACGGAGGGUGCGAGCGUUGUCCGGAAUUACUGGGCGUAAAGCGUGCGCAGGCGGUUUCGUAAGUCUGUCGUGAAAUCCCCGGGCUUAACCUGGGAAUGGCGAUGGAGACUGCGAGGCUAGAGUUUGGCAGAGGGGGGUAGAAUUCCACGUGUAGCAGUGAAAUGCGUAGAGAUGUGGAGGAACACCGAUGGCGAAGGCAGCCCCCUGGGUCAAAACUGACGCUCAUGCACGAAAGCGUGGGGAGCAAACAGG
rnacentral:rRNA from 1 species